GAUUUUUUGGCCGUCUAUAAAUAACCAUCCAUCUUGUUUCAAGUUUUCAAAGUCUUUCCUUCAACCCUUAUCUCUCUGUCUCUCCUCCACCAUCACCGCCACCGUGACUCCACCACCGCCACCGCCAUGCAUAUGUAUAUCGUGCACCACUAGCAGAUGAAGCUGCCAGCAUGAUCUUAACUCGCCUUUGAUCAACAUCGACUCGGGGAGAGAUCAGAUCAUGCGGCAGCUUCACCUGUUAUCGGAUCACGAAAAUCUUUAUCUGUAUACAGAAAACCCGCAGUCGUUACCUUUCGGAUGCAUACUGGGUAAAUUCUCGGACUGACAUAAUAGCCUGCAAAUCACGCUAAUCAGGUAAAUUACACCAGGCAAACCCGGUGUGACAGACUCGAUCGAGAAGGUGUUGGUAAGAAGAAUCGAACUCGUGAUCAAAAGCCUCUGCACUUACCUGCUCCACCACCCCCAUGAGAGGCGAGCGCACGUCAAAUAUUUUAAGUAAAACAGACUUGUCUAUAUACAAUUAGCAAAUAAAUAAUCUACAUGAUUGAUCUAGACAUUUGAUACAAUUUAUAUCAUUUAUAAAUUCAAUCAAAGUUAAACGUUAAUUUUAACCACA